rnacentral:sRNA from 1 species
CGAAAUCUUCUGGGAAAUGUUUCCUGAGAGUCAUCACAAUGAAUCUCUGUUCCGGGGUUGGUCAAGGUUGUACGUCACGCUGGUAGGCAGGCAGACCUGGUAGUGUGAGAGUCACACAGGUGGUGCUGGUUUUGACAGCAUGAAGAGCAGCUGAAGCUUGUCACUGUGAGAGGCAGGAAAGUCCAUGGUGAAGGUGCAGCCUCAACGGCAGUUGACCGAAGGGGCCAUGAAGAGAAGUUGAUGCUUGACACCAUGAAGAGAGCCUAUGAGAGGCUAUUGGUGAAAAUGAAGUCCAGCUGGCAGAAGAUCUGUCAUUUCGGAGAUGUCAAUACCAGGGGGUGACCACCAAGACAGCAGCAGCAGAGGAAUGAAGCCAGCCGGAGCCUAGAAGAAAGCUGUGUGUGCUAUAGAGGGCAGAGGGACCCAGAAGAUGCGAAACCUUCAAUUUAUGGUUGGAAGACGGAGGAACCCUUUAUGGCCCUGGCGUGUUGGAAACGAUUGAAAGAGAAGAAAUUUAGAAGGCAUGAGAGAUUCAUCGGCAAUACUUGGCCAGAUUUUCCCUAAUAUUCUUGAUAACUCUGGUCCAGGCAACAACACA